rnacentral:rRNA from 3 species
GGGGAAUUUUCCGCAAUGGGCGCAAGCCUGACGGAGCAACGCCGCGUGAGGGAGGAAUGUCUGUGGAUUGUAAACCUCUUUUCUCUGUGAAGAAGAUCUGACGGUAGCAGAGGAAUCAGCAUCGGCUAACUCCGUGCCAGCAGCCGCGGUAAGACGGAGGAUGCAAGCGUUAUCCGGAAUUAUUGGGCGUAAAGCGUCCGUAGGCGGUUAAUUAAGUCAGUUGUUAAAGACUGCAGCUCAACUGUGGGAGAGCAACUGAAACUGGUUGACUAGAGUAUGGUAGGGGUAGAGGGAAUUCCUAGUGUAGCGGUGAAAUGCGUAGAUAUUAGGAAGAACACCAGUGGCGAAGGCGCUCUACUGGGCCAAGACUGACGCUGAUGGACGAAAGCUAGGGGAGCGAAAGGGAUUAGAUACCCCAGUAGUC